CCAGAUCUCCGGGCUGCACGCACUAAGCGACGAAUGUCGUGGAGCGAGGAAACUCCGGGCUUCGCCGACACACCCCAGCAGGUAAUGCCUGCCCGCCGCGAGGCGAGCCACGGCAACNNNNNNNNNNCGGGACGGGUGGGGCGGGGAAGCAACCGCAAGAAGUGCUUUGGUGGCGGGCAAGGAGGCGCCUGGCGACAGGCGUCCAAGAGGAAUGGCAGCCCUCGACAGCACCCGGCUUACAGGGGAUCUGGUCUC
rnacentral:RNase_P_RNA from 1 species